AUGAAAACAAUGUCCGCUCUAGCUCAGACACUAAAUUGAAAGAACUAACAAACAAAGCCACCACGCAGCAUGACACAUCACAACAGACGAAAUCCUCAAGGUGAUAAUAGACGCCAGUUCAACUUCUACACUGAGGAAAAGGCACUCAAGGCGGUGAUAUCCGUUCAUGUACUAUCCGUUCAUGUACCUUGUCUGCAAGUGAUCCCGACGUUUCAGCACCUAGGCAACAGUGCUUGGACAGUGGAUUGCUGAAAGGAUAAACACCUAGUUGGUUACAUACUACAAGGCAACAGCAAAUGUAAGAUCAAUCACAACGGAUGGUGAAACACUACCCUGUCUCACAACAACAGCAUGUUCCAGGCUCAUGUGAUCCUCACACAAUAGGGACUGGGCAUCUGAUUGUUUUAAUAAUCACCUGUAUCACCCUUUUAGCUUUAUUCCUGUAAUUCUGCA